GGGCGGAUGGCGGAAUUGGUAGACGCGCCAGACUCAAAAUNNGGCCGUGGAGGUUCAAGUCCUCUUCUGCCCACCA
rnacentral:tRNA from 1 species